AUUGAACGCUGGCGGCAGGCCUAACACAUGCAAGUCGAACGGUAACAGGAAACAGCUUGCUGUUUCGCUGACGAGUGGCGGACGGGUGAGUAAUGUCUGGGAAACUGCCUGAUGGAGGGGGAUAACUACUGGAAACGGUAGCUAAUACCGCAUAACGUCGCAAGACCAAAGAGGGGGACCCUCGGGCCUCUUGCCAUCGGAUGUGCCCAGAUGGGAUUAGCUUGUUGGUGGGGUAACGGCUCACCAAGGCGACGAUCCCUAGCUGGUCUGAGAGGAUGACCGGCCACCCUGGACCUGAGACCCGGUCCAGACCCCUACGGGAGGCAGCAGCGGGGAAUAUUGCACAAUGGGCGCAAGCCUGAUGCAGCCAUGCCGCGUGUAUGAAGAAGGCCUUCGGGUUGUAAAGUACUUUCAGCGGGGAGGAAGGGAGUAAAGUUAAUACCUGUGCUCAUUGACGUUACCCGCAGAAGAAGCACCGGCUAACUCCGU
rnacentral:rRNA from 1 species